GUGUCAGGUGUGUAGCUGUAGCAGGCAGGAGUGUCAGUUGUGUAGCUGUAGCAGGCAGGAGUGCCAGGUGUGUAGCUGUGUUAGGUGUGUAGCUGUGUCAGGAGUGCCAGGUGUGUAGCUGGAGCAGGCAGGAGUGCCAGGUGUGUAGCUGUGUCAGGAGUGCCAGGUGUGUAGCUGUAGCAGGCAGGAGUGCCAGGUGUGUAGC